CUACGUGCCAGCAGCCGCGGUAAUACGGAAGGUCCAGGCGUUAUCCGGAUUUAUUGGGUUUAAAGGGAGCGUAGGCGGAUUAUUAAGUCAGUGGUGAAAGACGGUGGCUCAACCAUCGUUAGCCAUUGAAACUGGUAGUCUUGAGUGCAGACAGGGAUGCUGGAACUCGUGGUGUAGCGGUGAAAUGCUUAGAUAUCACGAUGAACUCCGAUCGCGAAGGCAGGUGUCCGGGCUGCAACUGACGCUGAGGCUCGAAAGUGUGGGUAUCAAACAGGAUUAGAUACCCUGGUAGUCCACACAGUAAACGAUGUAUACUCGCGGUUUGCGAUAUAGUGUAAGCCGCCAAGCGAAAGCAUUAAGUAUACCACCUGGGGAGUACGCCGGCAACGGUGAAACUCAAAGGAAUUGACGGGGGCCCGCACAAGCGGAGGAACAUGUGGUUUAAUUCGAUGAUACGCGAGGAACCUUACCCGGGCUUGAAC
rnacentral:rRNA from 1 species